UACGUAGGGGCCAAGCGUUGUUCGGAAUCACUGGGCGUAAAGCGCGUGUAGGCGGCCUGCUAAGUCUGAUGUGAAAGCCCGAGGCUCACCCUCGGAAGUGCAUUGGAAACUGGCAGACUGGAGUCCCGGAGAGGAGGGUGGAAUUCCUGGUGUAGCGGUGAAAUGCGUAGAUAUCAGGAGGAACACCGGUGGCGAAGGCGGCCCUCUGGACGGUGACUGACGCUGAGACGCGAAAGCGUGGGGAGCAAACAGG
rnacentral:rRNA from 1 species